GUGUCAGCAGCCGCGGUAAUACAGAGGGUGCGAGCGUUGUCCGGAAUCACUGGGCGUAAAGGGCGCGUAGGCGGCUUGUCAUGCGUGCGGUGAAAGCCCGGGGCUCAACCCCGGGUCGGCCGUGCGAACGGGCAGGCUUGAGUCUGGUAGAGGCUGAUGGAAUUCCGGGUGUAGCGGUGGAAUGCGUAGAGAUCCGGAAGAACACCGGUGGCGAAGGCGGUCAGCUGGGCCAGAACUGACGCUGAUGCGCGACAGCGUGGGGAGCAAACAGGAUUAGAAACCCUGGUAGUCC
rnacentral:rRNA from 1 species